rnacentral:rRNA from 1 species
AGCGAACGCUGGCGGCAGGCUUAACACAUGCAAGUCGAGCGGGCAUAGCAAUAUGUCAGCGGCAGACGGGUGAGUAACGCGUGGGAACGUACCUUUUGGUUCGGAACAACACAGGGAAACUUGUGCUAAUACCGGAUAAGCCCUUACGGGGAAAGAUUUAUCGCCGAAAGAUCGGCCCGCGUCUGAUUAGUUAGUUGGUGCGGUAAUGGCUCACCAAGGCGACGAUCAGUAGCUGGUCUGAGAGGAUGAUCACCCACAUUGGGACUGCGACACGGCCCAAACUCCUACGGGAGGCAGCGGUGGGGAAUAUUGGACAAUGGGCGCAAGCGUGAUCCAGCGAUGCCGCGUGAGUGAUGAAGGCCCUAGGGUUGUAAAGCUCUUUUGUGCGGGAAGAUAAUGACGGUACCGCAAGAAUAAGCCCCGGCUAACUUCGUGCCAGCAGCCGCGGUAACAC